rnacentral:lncRNA from 1 species
UGCUUCAUUUAUAAAGUCUUCUUGCAUACGACUUAAUGAAGCCGAGAUACUGUUCAACAAUUGUGAGGUCUUACCUGGUUGGUCAUUUCCUUAACCAAGGAUCAAGGACAAAAGGCCAGACAGCUCUGUGGAAACAACACCAGGAUUUCAGUGAGGGGGUGUCAUCAGGAUAGAAGGCACACAGGAAGUUCCCCUUGACCAAGAAAAUAAGGCAACUCUUUAUUAUGAAGUUGUUCUGACACCCUUCUAUGGAUCAGUCCCUGGAACCUCCUUCGCACUCCCUACCAGGUGGUAUGGUCUUCUUUCUUCCUCUGAACCUAGGGACUCAACUAACAGCUAAUUCUAUCCCAUGGUUUCUUCACCUCAAGUGUGACUGCAGAGAGCGACCAGUCUCUGUCCUUUCCUGCUCUUUAGAGAGAAAAAAACCACAGCUCCUUUUAAUAUUAAAUAUUAUUUAUUAAAAACAAACAAACAAACAUGGGGGAAUCCAAAGAUGGCAAAGUUCUUAUUUUACAUGCAAAAGUCUCAACCAAAAAUGCCUUUAAGAGCCAACAGGCAGGUAAAUAAGGGCAGAAGCUGGAGGGAGACACGUGUCAAGAGAUUGAGAACAUCCUGGCUGACAUGGUGAAACCACGUCUCUAAUAAAAAUACAAAAAUUAGCUGGGUGUAGUGGCGCACACCUGUAAUCCCAGCUACUCAGGAGGCUGAGGCAGGAGAAUCACUUGAACCUAGGCAGCGGAGGUUGCAGUGAGCUGAAAUUGUGCCACUGAACUCCAGCCUGGGUGACAGAGCGAGACUCCAUCUUAAAAAAUAAAAAUAAAAAAUAAAAAAAAAAGGAUAGAUCUAAUUUCUCAGGCUACAUUAAGGGCUAAUGGUUCUUAUUUCUUUGUGUGUGCCAAAGACCCCCUUUGGCGGACUUUUUUUUUUCGAGAUAGGGUCUUGCUCCAUCACCCAGACUGGAGUGCAGUGGCACAAUCAUGGUCAAUGCAGCUUCAACCUCCCAGGCCAAGUCUUGCUCCCACCUCAGCCCGAGUGGCUGGGACUACAGGUGCGUGCCAACAUGUCUGGAUAUUUUAAUUUUUUGUAGAGAUGGGGUCUCCCUAUGUUGCCUAGGCUGGUCUUGAACUCCUGGGCUCAAGCAAUCCUCCUGUCUUGGCCUCCCAAAGUGCUGGGAUUACAGGUAUGAGCCACCAGACUCAGGCUCAGGAUGUCUUUACAGAAAAUACACAGGUUUAGAAAUGAAACCAAUUACAGUAGGUUCUCAUUAUUCACAACAAUUAUGUUCUAUGAAGUCGCUACAGACACUAAAUUAUCCAACACAGAACCACUGUUCCUUGGGGAAACAGGUUCCUGAAAGCCUCUGGGCACAUUCUUGUCAACCAAUCAAUACAUAAUCAUGUUUUAUGUGUGUUUAUGUUUAAAGGCACUUACUGAAUAUACAUUAGUAAUUCAUUAAUACUGAACUCAUGCCUAAACAAAGCUUAUCUAACACACAUAUUUUCUCCAUAAGACAAAUCACAAUCUUCUUGCAUUUAGAAGCACCUCAGCACUAUGCUUGGGGGCUAUCUCAAACAGUGGAAUCACCGACAAAAAGCACAAAGAUGAGAAAAAUGUAGCACCAAAGACUGCAAAAAUGACAUUUGCUUACAAUAUGAGAGUUGACAAGAAGGCAGUGUCACCUUGUUUGACUUCAGUUGAGAACAUGUGCAUCAGGCAACUAAAAUUUUUCACGUGAAAAAAUGUCAUGUCUUCCAAAGACCACAAAAGCAUUGUAAGUAUUAAUUUGAGGGCUACAGACAAAUUUUAGUAAGUAGGUGAAUUCAUAAAUACAGAAUCCACAAAUAAUGAGGAUAGACUGUAUGCUAAAAUUUUAUCAAAAUACAAAAACAUAUGUGCUUCUUUACUGACACAUUAUAUAUGUGAUCUAGAAGCAAAUUUAAUAACUACCAUAAUUUCGAAGUUGCAAUGAGCUUACACAAUAUCAUGAUAUGAAAAUAUCUAUAAUUUAUAUUCAUAACAAAGUCACACUGCUAAUAAUGUGAUUUGUUGCCUACAUUCACAGUGGAAGAAAAUGCUAAAUUUCAGUUGGAGGUUAGGAAACAUAAAGAUGCAAUUUUUCCUCUCAGCCAAGUUCACGGCCCUCGCAAUUCUACCCAUUGGCAGUUUAAGGGACCACACAGUUAAGGCAUCCAGGUUCAGGUUACUUUCUUUAAAUCUGCCAGCCUAAAAAGCUGCCGAAGGUUUUCCAAUAACAGGAAAUCAAACAAACAAACAAUUUAUAACUAAUCCUUGCCUAUGAAGAUCUCAAAUUGGUAGUGUUUUGUUUUGGUUUUGUAAAGACAAGUUCUCAUUAUGUUGCCCAGGCUGGUAUCAAACUCCUGGCCUCAAACGAUCCUCUUGUCUUGGCCUUCCAAAGUGCUGGGAUUACAGACAGGUUGGUAGUGUUUUAUUCAUUUGUGACCCAUGAACAGGGUUCUUUCUGCCCAGGGUAGGAAAGACAGGAAAGUGCUCAAGCCAGUUUGGCUAAUGGGAAUGGUAUUCAACCUCUGCUUCAGCACAGCCUUCUGCCUGCUGAAGCACAGGCUUGUCCUCUUCCCUGUCAUUCUGGGCCUCACAUUUGGCAAUGGAUAGAAACAAAAAAAGGAGGAAGGCUUGCGGUAAGCCAGCUUCCAAAAACCCGGGCUCCAAAAGACAAGGGUGUGAUUCUAUCAAUGAGUGCACAUUUGAGGAUGUACAAUGAAUCCGGUCCUAUUUUAAGUAAUACACAAAGAUUUAGCUCACUGAAACCUCAUAACCCCGCUUACUAGGUACAGUAGUUCUUUAGCUGAGGUUUUGAUUUCCACAGUUCCAGAGGUCAACCGUAGUCCAAAAAUAGGUGAGUAGAGUGCAGUAAGAUAUUUUGAGAGAGACCACAUUCACAUACAUUUUAUUACACUGUUAUAAUUCUAUUUUAUUAUUAUUGUUGUUAUUCUCUUAUUGUGCCUAAUUUACGAAUUAAACUAAGUAAUCACAGGUAUGUAUGUGUAAUCUGUAUGAGAAAAAACACAGUAUAGAUGCUCCUCAACUUACAAUGGGGUUACUUCCCAAUAAACCUAUGUAAAGUUGAAAAAUUGUAAGUCAAACCACGGUAAGUCAGUCAGGGUCCUUCACUAUCCAAGAUUUCAGACAUCCACUGGAACGUACACCCCGCAGAUAAGGGGGGAACUACUAUUUUUUUAUUAUCAGUUCCACUUUUCUAGUAAGAAAAGGGAGGCUUAGAAGCGGUUAAGGAAGCUUCCCCAAGGGACACUAAAAGGUGGAUACAAGCUAUAGUAUAGGCUACCAAGAUACACUACCUCUUACUUCAGGGUCUUAUGAAGGUCAGAGCUAAGAGACUUUAGACCUUAGCCCUCUCUUGCCAUCUUCUCUCUUUGGGAAACUUUUCCCUAAAUUUCCUAGGCAGAAUUCAUCACUGACUCAGUGUUUCCAAGGAACACUACAGAUGCCUCUAUGAAACUACUCAGGCAAGUCAACAGCCCACAGUAUUGCACGGUACUUGGCGUAAAGCGAACCCAGCCUCUGUCUGUACCCGUCCAGUGAUGUCUGUAUCUGUCCAGCACGCUACCUAAGACAGCGUGGCCCACUACUGGAAAACUUCGGUUAAUACAGCCCUCCCAGCUACGGAUAAAUGAUCUCCUCCGCAGAGAAACCAGCCCUAAUCUCGAUACUGCCCAGAACAUUCUCAGGACGCAAAAGGAGGCCACCCACGGGCCUCCCCCACUCCCCUCAGGCCCCGUACACCGAGGAACAGCCAGGGCAAAUGGAGCCAUGGAAGCCACCCUCAGGCCCCAGGGCCUGGAGCAUCCCUGAACGGACCUGCUUACAGGCAGCCUCGGGCCCAACCUCGCUCACUCGCCCUCUGGCCUGGACUGUCAACGGCCCUAAUGACCCCAAUCCCCAACGGCCCUGCGCUCCAACUCACCACUGCACUGCCAGGCUGCACGUCGGAAGCCGGGCUCCGCGCGACUGCGACGCGCAAAGAUGAGCUAUCGAAGGGGCGGGGCAUCGCGCCGGCCCCGCCCUCACGGCUCGGAGCACUCCGCAGCGCCCGUUGCCGUCGCUAUGGCGGGCGCGGGGCAGACGCCGACGAGGGUGGGCGGAGAGAGGAGGGAGGAAGCCAGGUCCUGCUUCCAGAGGAGUGGUAGUUGGAAAUUUGCUUCCGGAAGCGCAGACGUUUAGCUUCCGGCAACUGCAGGUUUAGAGGUUUGUGUUGCAAUUUCAUUUUGUACUUUUGAGAUUGGACUAAAGCUAAUAACUUCUGUUGCUGAAAUAAAUUCAGUGAAAUC